rnacentral:rRNA from 1 species
UGAUGAAGGUCUUCGGAUCGUAAAACUCUGUUAUCAGGGAAGAACAAAUGUGUAAGUAACUGUGCACAUCUUGACGGUACCUGAUCAGAAAGCCACGGCUAACUACGUGCCAGCAGCCGCGGUAAUACGUAGGUGGCAAGCGUUAUCCGGAAUUAUUGGGCGUAAAGCGCGCGUAGGCGGUUUUUUAAGUCUGAUGUGAAAGCCCACGGCUCAACCGUGGAGGGUCAUUGGAAACUGGAAAACUUGAGUGCAGAAGAGGAAAGUGGAAUUCCAUGUGUAGCGGUGAAAUGCGCAGAGAUAUGGAGGAACACCAGUGGCGAAGGCGACUUUCUGGUCUGUAACUGACGCUGAUGUGCGAAAGCGUGGGGAUCAAACAGGAUUAGAUACCCUGGUAGUCCACGCCGUAAACGAUGAGUGCUAAGUGUUAGGGGGGUUUCCGCCCCUUAGUGCUGCAGCUAACGCAUUAAGCACUCCGCCUGGGGAGUACGACCGCAAGGUUGAAACUCAAAGGAAUUGACGGGGACCCGCACAAGCGGUGGAGCAUGUGGUUUAAUUYGAAGCAACGCGAAGA